rnacentral:rRNA from 1 species
AAUAGAUACCCUGGUAGUCUAUGCUGUAAACGGUGGGCGCUAGGUGUGAGUCCCUUCCACGGGGGUUUGUGCCGUAGCUAACGCUUUAAGCGCCCCGCCUGGGGAGUACGGGCCGCAAGGCUAAAAACUCAAAGGAAUUGACGGGGGCCCGCACAAGCGGCGGAGCAUGUGGAUUAAUUCGAUGCAACGCGAAGAACCUUACCUGGGCUUGACAUAUGUGAGAUUGGGCUAGAGAUAGUUCGUCCCUUGUGGCUCAUUUACAGGUGGUGCAUGGUUGUCGUCAGCUCGUGUCGUGAGAUGUUGGGUUAAGUCCCGCAACGAGUCGCAACCCUUGUCUUAUGUUGCCAGCACGUUGUGGUGGGGACUCGUGAGAGACUGCCGGGGUUAACUCGGAGGAAGGUGGGGAUGACGUCAAAUCAUCAUGCCCCUUAUGUCCAGGGCUUCACACAUGCUACAAUGGCUGGUACAGUGCGUGUGCGACACCGUGAGGUGGAGCUAAAUCGCGAAAGCCAGUUUCAGUUCGGAUUGGGGUU